GGAAAGCGAGGAAUCACUUUAUUUUCCAUCAUCAGCAUCUGAAUCCACGCCGGCUUAUGGACUCCGCACUGAUACAUGCUCGAUCAGUUGUGUUAUCUUCUCCUUCUUUUGCAGCACAAGCGCAACAGCGGAUCAGUGGUGGCGAACUAUGGAGACCACCUGAACAAGACUCACUCAAAGUUAAUUUCGAUGGGGCUUUUGAUCCACAAUCUACAAGCGGCACAAUCGCCUCUAUUUGCAGAGAUCAGCGAGGUACCCUGCUUGAUGGACUUACCCGGACGAUCACUGUUUCUUCGCCGCUGCAGGCCGAGUUUAUGGAACUAUUGCUCACUCUUCGCCAUCUGCAACAAAUGGGUAGACAGCAAAAUAAACUCAUCCUCGAAUCGGAUAGUUU
rnacentral:lncRNA from 1 species